AGAACGAACGCUGGCGGCAUGCCUAACACAUGCAAGUCGAACGCUCACCGGGCUUCGGUUCGGUGGGAGUGGCGCACGGGUGAGUAGCGCGUGGGAACCUGCCCUGUUGUGGGGGAUAACCGAGGGAAACUUCGGCUAAUACCGCAUGCGCCCGGGGAAACCCGGGGAAAGAUUUAUCGCAGCAGGAGGGGCCCGCGUCGGAUUAGGUAGUUGGUAGGGUAACGGCCUACCAAGCCUUUGAUCCGUAGCUGGUCUGAGAGGAUGAUCAGCCACACUGGGACUGAGACACGGCCCAGACUCCUACGGGAGGCAGCAGUGGGGAAUAUUGGACAAUGGGCGCAAGCCUGAUCCAGCAAUGCCGCGUGAGUGAUGAAGGCCCUAGGGUUGUAAAGCUCUUUUGUGCGGGAAGAUAAUGACGGUACCGCAAGAAUAAGCCCCGGCUAACUUCGUGCCAGCAGCCGC
rnacentral:rRNA from 1 species